rnacentral:rRNA from 1 species
GCAUAUCAAUAAGCGGAGGAAAAGAAACCAACAGGGAUUGCUCUAGUAACGGCGAGUGAAGCAGCAAUAGCUCAAAUUUGAAAUCUGGCGUCUUCGACGCCCGAGUUGUAAUUUGUAGAGGAUGCUUCUGAGUAACCACCGACCUAAGUUCCUUGGAACAGGACGUCAUAGAGGGUGAGAAUCCCGUAUGCGGUCGGAAAGGUGCUCUAUACGUAGCUCCUUCGACGAGUCGAGCUGUUUGGGAAUGCAGCUCUAAAUGGGAGGUAAAUUUCUUCUAAAGCUAAAUAUUGGCCAGAGACCGAUAGCGCACAAGUAGAGUGAUCGAAAGAUGAAAAGCACUUUGGAAAGAGAGUUAAAAAGCACGUGAAAUUGUUAAAAGGGAAGGGAUUGCAACCAGACUUGCUCGCGGUGUUCCGCCGGUCUUCUGACCGGUCUACUCGCCGCGUUGCAGGCCAGCAUCGUCUGGUGCCGCUGGAUAAGACUUGAGGAAUGUAGCUCCCUCGGGAGUGUUAUAGCCUCUUGUGAUGCAGCGAGCGCCGGGCGAGGUCCGCGCUUCGGCUAGGAUGCUGGCGUAAUGGUCGUAAUCCGCCCGUCUUGAAACACGGACC